CCCUUAGAUGUUCUGGGCUGCACGCGCGCUACACUGAUGCGUUCAACGAGUUUAUAACCUUGCUUGGUAAAGUUGGGUAAUCUUGUGAACACGCAUCGUGGUGGGGAUAGAUCAUUGCAAUUAUUGAUCUUCAACGAGGAAUUCCUAGUAGUGGCGAAUCAUCAGUUCGUCGCGAUUACGUCCCUGCCCUUUGUACACACCGCCCGUCGCUCCUACCGAUUGAACAAUCCGGUGAAUAAUUCGGACAGUCGUGCAUUAUAGUUCGCUAUUUUGCUUGUACUGGAAGUCUAGUGAACCUUAUUGUUUAGAGGAAGGAGAAGUCGUAACA
rnacentral:rRNA from 1 species